GUGCGAUGACUGAUUUGGAUAAGUUUCGGCUGACUGCUUUUUUGAUGCCAACUUUUUAUUUUGCUGAGCAC
rnacentral:snoRNA from 1 species